rnacentral:rRNA from 1 species
GACGAACGCUGGCGGCGUGCUUAACACAUGCAAGUCGAACGGAAAGGCCCUGCUUGCAGGGUGCUCGAGUGGCGAACGGGUGAGUAACACGUGGGUGAUCUGCCCCUUACUUUGGGAUAAGCCUGGGAAACUGGGUCUAAUACUGGAUAGGACCAUGCUGUAGGUGGUGUGGUGGAAAGAUUAGUUUCGGUAAGGGAUGAGAUCGCGGCCUAUCAGCUUGUUGGUGGGGUAAUGGCCUACCAAGGCGUCGACGGGUAGCCGGCCUGAGAGGGUGGACGGCCACAUUGGGACUGGGAUACGGCCCAGACUCCUACGGGAGGCAGCAGUGGGGAAUAUUGCACAAUGGGCGCAAGCCUGAUGCAGCGACGCCGCGUGGGGGAUGACGGCCUUCGGGUUGUAAACUCCUUUCAGCCAUGACGAAGCCCUUGUGGUGACGGUAGUGGUAGAAGAAGCACCGGCUAACUACGUG